rnacentral:ncRNA from 1 species
GCGCCUGGGGCUCGGCCAGCAGCGCGCGGUUUCGCACGCCAUGCUCGGCAAUUCCUGGUUCUGGUUCCUCGGCGCGACCUAUCUGACGCAGAUUCCGGCGUUCGCCAAGGAGCUGCUG